UCAAAGAUUAAGCCAUGCAUGUCUAAGUACAGGCCUAAGGAAGGCGAAACCGCGAAUGGCUCAUUAAAUCAGUUAUGGUUCAUUGGAUCCUACCCUUUCUUACUUGGAUAACUGUGGUAAUUCUAGAGCUAAUACAUGCCGACCAGUAGCUCCGACGCGCCCCCGCGUGGAAGAGCGCUUUUAUUAGAUCAAAACCCGUCCUCCCCCGGGAGGUCAAACCCCCUCAGUGGUGACUCUGAAUAACUUUUAGCUGAGCGCACGGCCCCCGCGCCGGCGCCGCAUCUUUCAAGUGUCUGCCUUAUCAGCUCUCGAUUGUAGGUUAUGCGCCUACAAUGGCUAUAACGGGUAACGGGAAUC
rnacentral:rRNA from 1 species